AGUGAACGCUGGCGGUAGGCCUAACACAUGCAAGUCGAACGGCAGCACAGUAAGAGCUUGCUCUUACGGGUGGCGAGUGGCGGACGGGUGAGGAAUACAUCGGAAUCUACUUUUUCGUGGGGGAUAACGUAGGGAAACUUACGCUAAUACCGCAUACGACCUACGGGUGAAAGCAGGGGAUCUUCGGACCUUGCGCGAUUGAAUGAGCCGAUGUCGGAUUAGCUAGUUGGCGGGGUAAAGGCCCGCCAAGGCGACGAUCCGUAGCUGGUCUGAGAGGAUGAUCAGCCACACUGGAACUGAGACACGGUCCAGACUCCUACGGGAGGCAGCAGUGGGGAAUAUUGGACAAUGGGCGCAAGCCUGAUCCAGCCAUACCGCGUGGGUGAAGAAGGCCUUCGGGUUGUAAAGUCCUUUUGUUGGGAAAGAAAAGCAGCAGGUUAAUACCCCGCUGUUCUGACGGUACCCAAAGAAUAAGCACCGGCUAACUUCGUG
rnacentral:rRNA from 1 species